AUACGGAGGGUGCAAGCGUUGUCCGGAUUUAUAGGGUUUAAAGGGUGCGUAGGUGGCGUGUUAAGUCAGUGGUGAAAGCCUGCAGCUCAACUGUAGAGGUGCCAUUGAUACUGACAUGCUUGAGUAUGGACGAGGUAGGCGGAAUUUGUGGUGUAGCGGUGAAAUGCAUAGAUACCACAAAGAACACCGAUAGCGAAGGCAGCUUACUGGACCAUAACUGACACUGAGGCACGAAAGUGUGGGUAGCGAACAGGAUUAGAUACCCCAGUAGUCC
rnacentral:rRNA from 1 species